rnacentral:tRNA from 1 species
UCCCUGGUGGCUCAGACAGUAAAGAAUCUGCCUGCAAUGGAGGAGAUUCAGGUUCAAUCCCUGGCUUGGGAA